GUUUCCUCAUUGAGCUCCUUUCUUCUUCUCUUCGAUUCCACGAAUUCGUGGGCCGAAAGGUCAUCUCUCUCUCUCUCUCUCUCUAGGUUCUCGGCGAUUUCAACGCUACGCAGUAGGGGGGAAAUCGUAGAGGGUUGGAUUGGAAGAAGGAUGCCCCACAGGACGCGGCCAUUGGCAGGGCUCUUGAUUUUCACCGGAAUAAACAUUGUGUUGGUGGAGACGAUCACUCCAGUCUAUGACUUUGUCUGCUUCCUUCCUUACUGGGAAAGAAGGAGAGAACGAAUCCGGCAGGAGCGUGAAGCUGUUGCAUUAUCAAAGGGCACAAACUAAACUAAAGUGGCAUUAUAUCCUUUACUUUGUAUCUCGGACCAUACCCUUCAAACGGAUUAUUGUGGGGCUUGAAAUGGAUUGUAGGCCUUGGGCCUCGUCCUGUACCGUGCUCAAGCAAAAGCACAGUGGGUAAUGGAACUGUCCACUCCGAACAAAUAUUUAAUCACGGGCAUAUUAGAGCGCGUAUAAAAAGGGGUGAAGGAAUAUUCCAUACAUGUGUGAAUUUAUACGGACUCAUCAUUCCGAAACUCCCGUAUCAUGUUUUAUAUUUUUUUUCAGCA